rnacentral:lncRNA from 1 species
GAUGCAGGUGAAGACAAGAUCUGGUCCUGUAGCCUGCCUCCAAAACAGCUGUAUCCAUGUCCUGUGGAAGGGACAACAUAACCAGAUCUUUCUUAUUCAAGAGUGUGAUUGAAGGACCCCUCACACUGCACCUGGAUCUGGUAAAAGGCUUGAUCACUUCAGCUGCACUGAGUCACACUCUGGCUUCUGAGAACAAUGUAAUGGAAAAUGUGCAACCAGUGUACAUAGCUAAUCAUUUCCUAACGUGCUGCUGCAGUGCCCUGUGUAAAGGCACCCUGAGAACACAGCCAGGACAUACCCCAGCAACACAGCUGGUGCAUCCUACAGCCUGCACCUUACUAUUCCUGUUGCUGUCAUCCCUGGGCACAGCUGGGAAGCAGGGAGAGCUGGGACCACAGAUGCACUGGAGGAGAUGCUCGGAGCCCCAGGCAGAAUUCUGGAUCAUGGUUGUUUUCAGCUCUCAGAUAUUUGGUAGAGAUGGAGAAGAUGGCACCUUGUGCAUCUGUGAGAGGCAGGGACCCCGGCCACCAGCCAUGGCCAGAUCCCUGACCUGGGAGCUCUGCACAGGAAAAGGUAAGAAAACAGCCUUUCCAAACGAUGGGUUUCAGGCCAGUGGCACCAUCAUCCUUUCAGAGUCCAACUGCAAGGGCAGAG